GCCUGGGUGGCUCAGUCGGUUGAGCAUCCGACUUCGGCUCAGGUCAUGAUCUCAGAGUUUGUGGGUUCGAGCCCCGCAUUGGGCU
rnacentral:tRNA from 1 species